rnacentral:rRNA from 1 species
AAAUAGAUUUAGGGCAAGCGUCGAUGUUAAGUCUCUUGGAGGUAGAGCACUGUUUGGGUGAGGGGUCCAUCCCGGAUUACCAAUCUCAGAUAAACUCCGAAUGCCAAUGAGAUAUAAUCGGCAGUCAGACUGCGAGUGCUAAGAUCCGUAGUCGAAAGGGAAACAGCCCAGACCACCAGCUAAGGUCCCAAAAUAUAUGUUAAGUGGAAAAGGAUGUGGGGUUGCACAGACAACUAGGAUGUUAGCUUAGAAGCAGCUAUUCAUUCAAAGAGUGCGUAAUAGCUCACUAGUCGAGUGACCCUGCGCCGAAAAUGUACCGGGGCUAAAACAUAUUACCGAAGCUGUGGAUACCUUUAUAGGUAUGGUAGGAGAGCGUUCUAUGUGCGAAGAAGGUGUACCGUGAGGAGUGCUGGAGCGCAUAGAAGUGAGAAUGCCGGUAUGAGUAGCGAAAGACAGGUGAGAAUCCUGUCCACCGUAAGACUAAGGUUUCCAGGGGAAGGCUCGUCCGCCCUGGGUUAGUCGGGACCUAAGGAGAGACCGAAAGGUGUAUCCGAUGGACAACAGGUUGAUAUUCCUGUACUAGAGUAUAUAGUGAUGGAGGGACGCAGUAGGCUAACUAAACCAGACGAUUGGAAGUGUCUGGCCAAGCAGUGAGGUGUGAUAUGAGUCAAAUGCUUAUAUCUAUAACAUUGAGCUGUGAUGGGGAGCGAAGUUUAGUAGCGAAGUUAGUGAUGUCACACUGCCGAGAAAAGCUUCUAGCGUUAAUUAUACUCUACCCGUACCGCAAACCGACACAGGUAGUCGAGGCGAGUAGCCUCAGGUGAGCGAGAGAACUCUCGUUAAGGAACUCGGCAAAAUGGCCCCGUAACUUCGGGAGAAGGGGCGCUGACUUAUGGUCAGCCGCAGUGAAUAGGCCCAAGCAACUGUUUAUCAAAAACACAGCUCUCUGCUAAAUCGUAAGAUGAUGUAUAGGGGGUGACGCCUGCCCGGUGCUGGAAGGUUAAGAGGAGUGCUUAGCGUAAGCGAAGGCAUGAAUUGAAGCCCCAGUAAACGGCGGCCGUAACUAUAACGGUCCUAAGGUAGCGAAAUUCCUUGUCGGGUAAGUUCCGACCCGCACGAAAGGCGUAAUGAUUUGGGCACUGUCUCAACGAGAGACUCGGUGAAAUUUUAGUACCUGUGAAGAUGCAGGUUACCCGCGACAGGACGGAAAGACCCCAUGGAGCUUUACUGCAGUUUGAUAUUGAGUAUCUGUACCACAUGUACAGGAU